GUAGCGUCACAGAACGGCUCGGGGUGGGAGGGGCCUUUAAAGACCACCUGGUCCCACUCCCCUGUGAUGAAAUGAGGCGCCUACGGCUCCAGCAGGUGCUUGGAGCCCAUCCAGCCUGACCCUGUGUGCAGGGAUGGGGCACCCACCGCAUCUCUGAGCAAGCAGAGGAGGGUGGUAGCUCCGGAAAGAAACCCCAGGCCUCUCAGGUUAGCUCGAUGUUACGUGCUGAUACACCAACAAGAGCUCACCUUGUCGGCUUUAGGAAUCCAUCAGUCUUCGGCAGGCAACAGAAGACUUCAAAGGCUUCUGCCCUCAUCUGUUAGGAAAUUCCUCCCAAUACCCAGAAGCAUUUGGCACAGCGGUGCUGCCAAUGAGCCCGAGCUGGGCAGGGUGGGGUGGGGACAGGCCUGGGGCUGUGCUGCGGGGCUGCUCAUCCCCAUCCCAGCUCAGCACUGGGCAGAGCUGCGGAUCCAAAGGAUGAGACUCCGAGCCAAGGCUGAACCCAGCGUCACGCUCCAGCUCCCAUGCACAGAGCCUCUCCGAGCUGCUCAGCAUUCCCCAGCACGAUGCAAAGCAGAGAGAAAAGCUCCAUCAUGCCGACUCCUCGGGGACUUUACCUCGGAUGCCCCAAGCGGAGCCCAGCUCUCUGAUUGGAGCUCAGCACAGAGAUGCAGUGCGGGAGCACAGAUUGCGCUACAGAACUGGAGAGGGACUGAGUGUUUUCAGCAAAUUACCUCUGUUAUGAGCCUGGCCAUAAAAAUCACCUCGCAAGUGAAUUUAGCUUUUCCUCUCUCCGUGCCCAAUCAAUUAGCACAUGAGUAAUACCAGGCCCAUUAGGGCAAACCGAUGCCGGGGGUGUUAUGUCAUCUGCUAUAGAAAUGAUUGCUUAAUAUACCAGUUGGCUCCAAGGAACUCUUACCCAUCGCACAACCCUCUGAAAUCGAUAGCAACAGUCAAACUAUAUUGUUUCAAACAAGAGUACUGCUGGGUAGCUAAGUAAGCUCAAUAUCAGUGCUUGUGAUCUCAGACACUUACCGGGCUAUAAAUAAUACAGGAGAACAACAGCAAUGGAGAACAUUCUACCCAGAAGACGGGGCUGGCACAAGUCGUACAGGGAGGCAGCGUGGGGUGCAGAAGGGCAGGGCUCGGGGCAAAGUGUCCCUAUGGUAUUUGGUGUCCUCUGCAGCUCAGCAGAACGAGCUGUGCUGCUGCAUGCACAUCCAUGCACACAUCCAGCUCCCAGUGCUGCAGGCAGCACCAGGGCCACCGUUACUUUAAAAUAUGCUUCACGAGCCAGAAAGGAGCAAAGCACAAUGAUGAAGGUCGACCUAAAGCAGCUGGAUGUGGUGUCACUGUGGGUCUGUUACAGCUGAGCUGCAUUUUCAUCACCUCUUCCCUCUCCCAGCAUGGAUCAUCACUGGCUGUUGGGGCUGGACAAAGGCUGGAGCCAGUGGGAUGGGACCAUGUGGCACCAGGCAAAUGCUUUGCUCCGGGUAGAGAAAGAGCUAAAAGCAGAAGGAGAAAAGCUCCUCUGCUCACCCUGGGGAAGGGAGUUCACAUCAUAAGCGCAGGACAAAGCACUGCUGAUAUUGGGGCUGCCAGAGGAUUUGAAUGGGAUUGGCCUGGGCUAACAAACUGUGGUCAAAGCUAAUCUCUGAUUAGCUAUACUGAGGAGAUUUAAUUUAGUUUAAAGCCUUACCUGAAAUGCAGAACUGGGUAUUAUUGCAUAUCUGACCGAGGCCGCUGUGUACAGCUGAAGUAUUUAUAGUAGAAUUAAAACCUCUCUGAAAGCAAUCAUCCAAGGAGCAGCAAAAUUGAUUGCAGCGGUGCCGCUUCCAAACAUUCAGAAAACAUGAGUCAGUCUCCAAAAUGUCACAAGAUUUUAAAAUGUAAUAUAUUUUGUCUUAUUUUU